ACUCCUACGGGAGGCAGCAGUGGGGAAUAUUGCACAAUGGGCGCAAGCCUGAUGCAGCCAUGCCGCGUGUAUGAAGAAGGCCUUCGGGUUGUAAAGUACUUUCAGCAGUGAGGAAGGUGGGUAUGUUAAUAGCAUACUCAUUUGACGUUAGCUGCAGAAGAAGCACCGGCUAACUCCGUGCCAGCAGCCGCGGUAAUACGGAGGGUGCGAGCGUUAAUCGGAAUUACUGGGCGUAAAGCGCAUGCAGGUGGUUUGUUAAGUCAGAUGUGAAAGCCCGGGGCUCAACCUCGGAAUUGCAUUUGAAACUGGCAAACUAGAGUACUGUAGAGGGGGUAGAAUUUCAGGUGUAGCGGUGAAAUGCGUAGAGAUCUGAAGGAAUACCGGUGGCGAAGGCGGCCCCCUGGACAGAUACUGACACUCAGAUGCGAAAGCGUGGGGAGCAAACAGGAUUAGAUACCCUGAUAGGCU
rnacentral:rRNA from 1 species